CUGACUGCCAGCCUCCGAUCGACACAGAUUCAGUCGAAACGCUUCUUUCCUCCCGAGUGCUUGCACUCAAUUGGAAAGAGGAGUGGCGGACGGGUGAGUAACACGUGGGUAACCUACCCAUCAGAGGGGGAUAACACUUGGAAACAGGUGCUAAUACCGCAUAACAGUUUAUGCCGCAUGGCAUAAGAGUGAAAGGCGCUUUCGGGUGUCGCUGAUGGAUGGACCCGCGGUGCAUUAGCUAGUUGGUGAGGUAACGGCUCACCAAGGCCACGAUGCAUAGCCGACCUGAGAGGGUGAUCGGCCACACUGGGACUGAGACACGGCCCAGACUCCUACGGGAGGCAGCAGUAGGGAAUCUUCGGCAAUGGACGAAAGUCUGACCGAGCAACGCCGCGUGAGUGAAGAAGGUUUUCGGAUCGUAAAACUCUGUUGUUAGAGAAGAACAAGGACGUUAGUAACUGAACGUCCCCUGACGGUAUCUAACCAGAAAGCCACGGCUAACUACGUGCCAGCAGCCGCGGUAAUACGUAGGUGGCAAGCGUUGUCCGGAUUUAUUGGGCGUAAAGCGAGCGCAGGCGGUUUCUUAAGUCUGAUGUGAAAGCCCCCGGCUCAACCGGGGAGGGUCAUUGGAAACUGGGAGACUUGAGUGCAGAAGAGGAGAGUGGAAUUCCAUGUGUAGCGGUGAAAUGCGUAGAUAUAUGGAGGAACACCAGUGGCGAAGGCGGCUCUCUGGUCUGUAACUGACGCUGAGGCUCGAAAGCGUGGGGAGCAAACAGGAUUAGAUACCCUGGUAGUCCACGCCGUAAACGAUGAGUGCUAAGUGUUGGAGGGUUUCCGCCCUUCAGUGCUGCAGCAAACGCAUUAAGCACUCCGCCUGGGGAGUACGACCGCAAGGUUGAAACUCAAAGGAAUUGACGGGGGGCCCGCACAAGGCGGUGGAGCAUGUGGUUUAAUUUCGAAGCAACGCGAAGAACCCUUACCAGGUCUUGACAUCCUUUUGACCACUCUAAGAGAAUAGAGCUUUCCCCUUCGGGGGACAAAGUGACAGUGGGUGCAUGGGUGUCGUCAGCUCGUGUCGUGAGAUGUUGGGAUUAGUCCCGGCACGAGCCGCCAACUCCCUAUUGGUAAGUGCCAUCAUUUUAGUGGUCACUCUAGGCGAGACUGCCGGGUGUACAAACCCG
rnacentral:rRNA from 1 species